rnacentral:rRNA from 1 species
UACAGAGGUCUCAAGCGUUGUUCGGAAUCACUGGGCGUAAAGGGUGCGUAGGCUGCGGAGAAAGUCUGGUGUGAAAUUUGCGAGCUCAACUCGCAACUAGCACCUGAUACUACUUUGCUGGAGAUCUGGAGAGGAGCUUGGAAUUCUCGGUGUAGCAGUGAAAUGCGUAGAGAUGUGGAGGAACACCGAUGGCGAAGGCAGCCCCCCUGGGUCAAGAUUGACGCUCAUGCACGAAAGCGUGGGGAGCAAACAGG